GGUAUCUGUGCAUUUAUCCGUGUGGAUUUAUAUACGUGUUUGGGACUGCCAAAAGAAGUUGUCCCUAUCUAAAGGGACAGUCCCCCUGGAGCAACCUGGAGUUAAGUGCCUUGCUCAAGGGCCCAACAGUGGCAUCUUGGUGGUGCUGGGUCUUGAACCCCCAACCUUCUGUCUGGCAGCACAAAGUUAGGACUGGACUGUGGAUCCUGUGGAUGAUGGAUAAAGAGCAGAAAAAAAUGCACACUCUUAAUGGGAGUGUCUCAGGGGGCCUGGAAGCCAAAAAGCAUGAUCAACCAAAAGCAGCGGCUCUCCAGCAGAAUGUGGGUCUCAUAAGCGGCAUCAGUCUGAUAGUGGGAACAAUGAUUGGCUCAGGGAUCUUCAUUUCUCCUAAAUCGGUUCUGGAGGGAACUGGAGCAGUGGGUCCAUGUUUGUGUGUGUGGGCUGCGUGUGGAGUAUUGGCUACACUGGGGGCCCUCUGCUAUGCUGAACUAGGCACAAUGAUCACAAAGUCUGGUGGAGAGUAUCCAUACCUGAUGGAGGGGUUUGGACCACUGCUUGCAUACCUUUACUCCUGGACCACAAUCAUCGUGUUAAAGCCUUCGUCAUUUUCCAUUAUUGCCUUGAGCUGUGCGGAGUACGCCUCCACACCAUUUUACCCAGGAUGCACCCCUCCUCAAUUUAUCACCAAAUGCCUGGCUGCAGCUUGUAUCUUAAUCAUUACAAGUGUGAACUGUUUGAGUGUGAAGCUGGCCUCUAGAGUGCAGAACAUCUUUACUGCAGCUAAACUCUUGAUUAUAAUCGUCAUAGUGGUUGCAGGCAUUGUUAUGCUGGCUCAAGGGAAUACACAGAACAUUAGAGACCCAUUUGCAGGUGGAACAACGUCAUUUGGAGCAAUUGGCCUUGCUUUUUACAACGGCCUUUGGGCUUAUGAUGGAUGGAAUCAGCUGAACUUCAUAACAGAAGAGCUGAAAAAUCCCUACAGAAACCUUCCCUUGGCAAUCAUUAUUGGGAUUCCCCUGGUUACUGUGUGCUAUAUACUUGUCAACAUAGCAUAUUUCAGUGUCAUGACCCCUGUUGAACUUCUACAAUCUUCUGCCGUUGCUGUGACUUUUGGUGACAGAGUGCUCUACCCAUUUGCAUGGGUUGUACCUUUAUUUGUGGUCUUCUCCACUUUUGGUGCUGCCAAUGGGAGCUGUUUCACCUCAGGCAGAUUGACAUACGUGGCAGGACGGGAAGGUCACAUGGUUAGGAUCUUGUCGUACAUCAGUGUGAAACGUUACACACCCGCACCAGCUCUUAUAUUUAACGGCAUCCUGUCAAUCUUCUACAUCAUUCCAGCAGACAUAAACACUCUCAUCAACUACUUCAGUUUUGCUCAGUGGGCUUUUUAUGGGCUCACAUGCCUCGCACUCAUCGUUAUGCGAUUCACUAGAAAGGAGCUGCACAGACCUGUAAAGGUUCCUAUAAUCAUCCCUAUUGUAGUGGUGAUUGUGUCCUGUUACCUGGUACUUGCACCCAUCAUAGAAAAGCCUGAGUUGGAGUAUUUGUAUUGCACAGUGUUCAUAGUGAGCGGUCUUCUCUUAUAUGUACCCUUCAUUUAUUUCAAAUUCAACUGGAUCGGCCGCAUCAUGAGGCCAAUUACCAUGCACCUUCAGCUGCUACUGGAAGUCGUCCCAUCUGAGAAGAUUGAGUGAUAAAUGUGAUAACCAGAAAUGGAUAAAUGACUGUUCCUUGAACAUGUUGGUAAAGGGUCAUUAAAGGGAACAUUGCUAGUACAUACAGACACACACAUUGUCAUGUGUGUAGAAAUACUCACAAGAAUGUGGACUAUUCUGGGAAGACUGGUGGCACUGUGAAAGUCUUGGAAGAUCACCUGAAACCUGCACCGCAUCAUCUGCUAGAAUCCAUAUACAGCAUCCAUCCACAUGCCUCUGUGCAGAUUUAAAAACACGAGUAAACUCUGACCCUUACCUUUCAUAAUGGCAGGACUGAGGGACAGGUGCUUUUCUUGAUUUUUAUAAGUUAAUUCUAAUUUAAGACUUACUGAUGUGACCCUUGACUUAUGGACUAUAAUAUAACGCCUAUGCAGAGAUAUCAAGUUCAUUUUGUUUAAUGAGCUAAAGAACAAUGAAUGUUGAUAUAAAGACUGAUUAUGUGCUACAUUAUAACCAACAGAUGAUAAACAGCAAACAAAGGUAACAUUCAGAGUUGUUUAUAGUAUAUUUUGAGGAUGCAAUAUUGGUUAAACUACUCUUAACGCACUUAUGCAGGCAUCAGAGCAGCAAAACGUGUAACAGGAACAAAAAAGAACUUUACAAAUUGUGCUUUUUUUCAUGUAAUUAUGCAUUUAGAAAAAAUGAUAAGCCUACUGUAUUUCUGCGGAGUGGUGAAAUUGCUUCGACAAAAAAAAGGUCUCAUGGGUUUAGAUAAAAGAAUUAAAAUAACUUGUGAAAGUUAAGAAAUUACAAAAUAAA